rnacentral:rRNA from 1 species
UCAGUAACACGUAGUCAACAUGCCCAGAGGACGUGGAUAACCUCGGGAAACUGAGGAUAAACCGCGAUAGGUCAUAUUUACUGGAAUGUUUUAUGGCUCAAAUCUACAUGGCCUCUGGAUUGGACUGCGGCCGAUCAGGCUGUUGGUGAGGUAAUGGCCCACCAAACCUGUUACCGGUACGGGCUCUGAGAGGAGGAGCCCGGAGAUGGGCACUGAGACAAGGGCCCAGGUCCUAUGGGGCGCAGCAGGCGCGAAACCUCUGCAAUGGGCGAAAGCCUGACAGGGUUACUCUGAGUGAUUCCCGUUAAGGGAAUCUUUUGGCAUCUCUAAAAACGAUGCAGAAUAAGGGGUGGGCAAGUCUGGUGCCAGCCGCCG